rnacentral:pre_miRNA from 1 species
AGCCUUCUGUAUCCGUGCUGAGAUUUCGUCACACACCAGGGCUGAUGAGACUCCCAAGAUAAGUGAAGUG